AGAGGACUCUACUGUACUGAAAACCAACACCUGCCUCCCGUACAGACACCUGCUCACUGGAUAAUCCGUCUAAAUGGAAGGACUACAAAAGCUCUCACCAUAGAAACCAAAUUUAAAACAUUAAAAUGAGUUAUUUAUCUUGUAUCAUUAUGCAGGUAGUAGCAGUUUGUUGGCAAAGUGAUAGAUAACAGGAAAAGUGGUCCAUUAAGUUGCUAAACAGGCACAAAUAGCCCCAUCAAGAACAUCCAUCACCUCACUCUGUCCUGAUGUGUUUUACUGCUCUGUAUUGAUGUAUAUUGAUCAGGCACAGCUUUAAAACCACCCUCUUUAUGUUGUUUAGGUCCCUGAUGUGCUGCUAAAACUCUCUGACACGUGAGACCAGUGGUGGUGUCUGGCAUCCAGACGCUGGCAGUAGAUCCAGUAGGUGCCAUAGGUUGGAUUUAGGCGCCUACUGGCACAUCUUGAGUGAGAGUAGCAGUUCCUCCUGAAGGUCAGAGAUUGCAGCAUCUGAGGGCCUCUUCAAAAGAAGACGUAGUUGAUGAAGGCGUUCUGGAGCAGGACCAGAAAGACCACGACCAAGCAGCCUUGAGAUCUUAGGCAGCGUCUCACUCUGGUCCCUCUCUAUCUCCCCACACAUCCACCAACCACUGGAACACAUCUCCAAAGUUCUGCUGGGCCAGCUCAGCUUCCCCUCAGAAGAAGUGGUGCCACCUGCCAGAUGAAGGAGCCUUUUGAGAGGCAGCUGGCAUCGUGAUUGGACUGUACUUUGGUCUGUUCCAAUCCAGCUUCAGCUCCAGAGACAGCAGGCGGGACGAGUCAACGGAGGCCGGGUGGACGAAGGCAUGCAGCUGAGUACAAUCCAGAAAACAACAGAGGAGGAGUGCAGCGGCCCAGAGCCAGAACAAACAGAGUAGC
ensembl:lncRNA